rnacentral:lncRNA from 1 species
GUUUCUUUUUUUAAAUAACAUUUUCGCUUUUGCUUUUCUAGGUUUGUUUAUCUCAGAUUUUAGUGUUUCCUUGUAAUACACUUUUUCCAACGUAAGAGUUAAUUGUAUUCUCUCUUGAUGGUCUGAACACUCUCCCUGCCUUUCUUAAAGCAGCAGAUCUUUGGUUUUGAAGAGGAUUACGGUAUUGGUGCUUUUUAUUGCUGGUUAUACCUAGGUAUAACCAGCCUUCAUGUGGCUGGGAAGUCAUUUGUUUUUAAUAGUCCAGAAUGCUCCUGUCUGAUAUUUAGCAUUUCUUUGUCUUUUCACAUGAUUUUUUGACUCCAAGAGAAAUCCAAGAAAAUUUGAACUAAUUGUUGAGAUGUUUAAGGUGAUGACGAAAUGUGCUCUUACUUUGACGAUUAUUAAGACACAGAAGCUAGCUCUUGGUUUUGAAAUCAUAUAACCAUGUAUCUUCAUUUUUAAUCUUUCUUCUCCCAUUUAUCACUCCAGCUGUUCUGUUGCUACCUUGUUCUUUUGUGUUUCUGUCCUGCUUCCCUGUCUUUUUUCUUCCUGUUUGUGCAUAUGUGUGUUCAUUAAAUUCCCGAUUUUAGGCUAAAUUUGGUGGAAAGCCUUACUUGCUCAGAUUAGGGAAACCAGGUGUGACCGAAUGCUGCAUUUACUUGGUCUCUCUUUUGGGGAAUGAGCUCAUUAUUGAAUUAGUCUAUUCAUAAUAACAUUGACAAGCAGACGUUAAGAACAUGGAGGCCUGAGGGAUACAGAGAAGCAUUACUAAUUCUCUGAGGAAUAUAAUUCCUAAAUUCAAUCAUCCUUUUUUUAAAUGAUUUUUUUUUAUUUAGCUGAAGUAAGUAAGUUAACACAGCUUUUGGCAGACAGUGUGGGGCCCGAACACAUACUGGGGAAAAAAAAAAAACCUACCAUCUGAAUAGUGAAAUGCUGACUGGGCAGUAUUGAGGUUGGCAUUGAUGAGCCAUUAUUAUUACUAUUUACUUUUUUUUUUGCUUUUUAGGGCCACACCUGUGGCAUAUGGAGGUUCCCAGGUUAGGGGUCGAAUUGGAGCUGCAGCUGCUGGCCUAUGCCACAGCCACAGCAAUGUGGGAUCAGAGCUGAGUAUGUGACCUAUACCACAGCUCACGGCAAUGCUGGAUCCUUAACCUGGUGAGCAAGGCCAGGGAUUGAACCCAUAUUCUCAUGGAUAUUAGUCAGGUUCAUUACGCUGAGCCACAACCGGGACUCCCUACUCUUUACUCUGAAUGGAUUUUGAAGGGAGGUAGGCUAGCAUAGAUACCACAUCAUUUUUACUGGUCUUGCAAGCUCCAAGAGGCCCAGAUUUUUUUCUUUUUCCUCAGUACAUGGUCUAGAAUAAGUGUUCCUUUUGUACAUUGGAUGAAUGAAUACGUAGCAAAUGAAGACUUCUUUUUGUGGUAAAGAGCUUAGAUGAUGACAAAGUUAAGUUUAUGUUUAAUGCACUGAACAUUUUAACCAGCCGAGGUGGAUUGAGGAGACACAGAGCAUCUCCCUUACAAUUCUUUCUUUGUAGAGGGAAGUGUUUCAAAAAGAAAUACUGGGCAGUUCCUGCCAUGGCUCAGUGGAAAUGCACCCAACUAGCAUCCAUGAGGACACAGGUUUGCUCCCUGGCUUCAUUCAGUGGGUUAAGGAUCUGUCAUUGCAAUGAGCUGCGGUAUAGAUCGCAGUUGAGGCUCUGAUCUGGCAUUGCUGUGGCUGUGGCAUAAGCCAGCAGCUGCAGCUCUGAUUUGACCCCUAGCCUGGGAACUUGCAUAUGCCACGGGUGUGGCCCUAAAAAGACCAGAAAAAGGAGAGGAGUACUGUAUCCCUGCCAUUCAUAGUCUCAGCUUCAUUUUCUUUUGCUCUCUUGUAAACUCAUAUACAUAAACACACUUUAGAGACUUAUUUUUUUCUAUUGUUUUUAGUAGGGACAGGUUUUAUGAAAUGGGCUCCAUCAAUUCAAAUAAAUUUGAAGCUAUGUAAAAUAAAUGUAACAGCACUACCAAAAUAGCCAGAAAUAAUAGACUGCAGUAGCGUGUCUCAGCAUUCUUUAAGCAAUGUCUAAUCAAGCAUGGACAGCAUCUGUAUUUCCAGCAAGUCUCCAUAGGAAUGUUACCUUCUAACACAGUAAUUAAUCACUAGUUGCCGUGUGUCAGAAAACUUAACAAGAAGUUCCAAGGCUCUUGUAGUGUUUCAUUUUCAUGGCCUUCCUGGCCACUGGAAAAUAGAACACUCUUUUCCUCAUAAAGAAAUGAGAGAUCUGGACUGAUUCCAUCUGUAUUGAUUCUUCUACUUGUGGUCUUAAGUUGUCUCUCUCGCUCUUUUUUUUGUUUGUUUGUUUGUUUUUUAAAAUACACGCCUUUUCUCUAAUCACUCAUGUGGAUAAAUCUUGGGUGAGAUCAGGAUAGCUUAUAACAUUACAGGGAUUGCAGAGCCCCUGUCUCUGCUGGAGUUUUGACACUUUUUACCCAACUGGUGAUUUUUAGACUCCCAAGGGGCCUUGUCCUGAAAAAUCAGUACAGACUGUUUAGGAAGUGGAAGGCCUUUCCGAGUGUGCUCUUCAUCACACAUCAUCUUACCCUCAGCUGCCAGGUGCUUCUCCAGAACUGAGUCAUUGAAACAACCCAGGAGUCCAGGCAGUGCAUGACGGGAGACGUCUGAAUGGGCACUGAAGUGCCCAGGGUGGACCCGGCAGUUCGCAUGAAGGCGUCAUUGAAAAAACAUCCCCGUUUCCUUCCCAGAACUCCCAUCUCCUUCUCCAUCUCCCUUCUGGGUGUGUCGCCCGUCUUUUCUCCUUCAUCUCUCCUGUUGCCUCUCUCAUGUCUCCUUGAUUUUGUGGUCCUUUUGGUUUUCUUUAGACUAGUCGUGUGUCUCAUUCUUGAGUCUGACAAAAAAUAAGGAAAUGGAAGCUGAGGUUCAGGAAGGGGUUAGGUUCUAACCCAUGAGAAAGCUUCCUCAGGAGUUCCCAUCGUGGCUCCGUGGAAACAAAUCUGACUCACAUCCAUGAGGACGCGGGUUUGAUCCCUGGCCUCGCUCAGUGGGUUCAGGAUCUGGCGUUGCCAUGAGCUGUGGUGUAGGUCGCAGAUGCGGCUUGGAUCUCACGUGGCUGUGGCUGUGGCCGGCGGCUACAGCUCCGAUUCAACCCUUAACCUGGGAACCUCCAU